GAUGAACGCUAGCGGCAGGCCUAAUACAUGCAAGACGAACGGUAAGUUGAGUAGCAAUACUUAGCCAAGAGUGUCGUACGGGUGCGUAACACGUAUGCAACCUACCCUAUACAGGAGGAUAGCCUAGGGAAACCUGGAUUAACCCUUCAUAGUAUUAUUGGAUGGCAUCAUUUGAUAAUUAAAACUGAGGUGGUAUAGGAUGGGCAUGCGUCUGAUUAGUUAGUUGGCGGGGUAAUGGCCCACCAAGACGAUGAUCAGUAGGGGUUCUGAGAGGAAGAUCCCCCACACUGGCACUGAGAUACGGGCCAGACUCCUACGGGAGCAGCAGUAGGAAUAUUGGUCAAGUGGAUGCAAGUCUGAACCAGCCAUGCCGCGUGCAGGAAGAAGGCCUU
rnacentral:rRNA from 1 species